GCCUCUCUCUAAGGAACUCGGCAAAAUUACCUCGUAACUUCGGAAGAAGAGGUACCCCUUCACGGGGGUUGCAAUAGAUUGACCCUGGCGACUGUUUACCAAAAACACAGGUCUCCGCUAAUUCGUAAGAAAAAGUAUGGGGGCUGACGCCUGCCCAGUGCCGGAAGGUUAAAGAAGUUGGUUAGUCCUUGGACAAAGCUAGCGACUGAAGCCCCGGUGAACGGCGGCCGUAACAAUAACGGUCCUAAGGUAGCGAAAUUCCUUGUCGGGUAAGUUCCGACCCGCACGAAAGGCGUAACGAUCAGGGUACUGUCUCGGAGAGAGGCUCGGCGAAAUAGACAUGUCUGUGAAGAUGCGGACUACCUGCACCUGGACAGAAAGACCCUAUGAAGCUUUACUGUAUCUUGGAAUUGGGUUUGGUCUUUGCAUGCGCAGGAUAGGUGGGAGGCUUUGAAGAUGAUCUUGCGGGGUCGUUGGAGCCACUGGUGAGAUACCACCCUUGCAAUGAUAAAAUCCUAACUUUGAACCGUUAUCCGGUCAAAGAACAGUUUCAGGUGGGCAGUUUGACUGGGGCGGUCGCCUCCUAAAAGGUAACGGAGGCGUGCAAAGGCUCCCUCAGGCUGGUUGGACAUCAGUCGUAGAGUGUAAAGGCAUAAGGGAGCUUGACUGCGAGACCAACAAGUCGAGCAGAGACGAAAGUCGGCCUUAGUGAUCCGGCGCUUCCGAGUGGAAGGGGCGUCGCUCAACGGAUAAAAGUUACUCUAAGGAUAACAGGCUGAUCUCCCCCAAGAGUUCACAUCGACGGGGAGGUUUGGCACCUCGAUGUCGGCUCAUCGCAUCCUGGGGCGGUAGUACGUCCCAAGGGUUGGGCUGUUCGCCCAUGAAAGCGGUACGCGAGCUGGGUUCAGAACGUCGUGAGACAGUUCGGUCCAUAUCCGGUGCAGGCGUUAGAGUAUUGCGAAGACUCCUCCUUAGUACGAGAGGACCGGGGGGAAUGCACCGCUGGUGUACCAGUUAUCGUGCCAACGGUAAACGCUGGGUAGCCAAGUGCAGUUUGGAUAACUGCUGAAAGCAUCUAAGUAGGAAGCCAGCUUCAAGAUGAGUACUCUCACCGCUUCAAGCGGGUAAGAUCACGGCAAGAACAGCCGUUUGAUAGGCAUCAAGUGUAAGUGCAGUAAUGUAUUCAGCUGAGAUGUACUAAUAGAUCGAGGGCUUAUUA
rnacentral:rRNA from 1 species